ACAGUCGCCGCGGUAAUACGUAGGGUGCAAGCGUUAAUCGGAAUUACUGGGCGUAAAGCGUGCGCAGGCGGUUUGUUAAGACAGAUGUGAAAUCCCCGGGCUCAACCUGGGAACUGCAUUUGUGACUGGCAAGCUAGAGUAUGGCAGAGGGGGGUGGAAUUCCGCGCGUAGCAGUGAAAUGCGUAGAGAUCGGAAGGAACAUCUGUGGCGAAGGCGACUAUCUGGGCCAACACUGACACUGAGGCACGAAAGCGUGGGGAGCAAACAGGAUUAGAGACCCCCGUAGUCCCUGUCUCUUAUACA
rnacentral:rRNA from 1 species